rnacentral:rRNA from 1 species
GACGAACGCUGGCGGCGUGCUUAACACAUGCAAGUCGAACGGAAAGGCCCUGCUUUUGUGGGGUGCUCGAUUGCCGCACGGGUGAGUAUCACGUGAGUAACCUGCCCUUGUCUUUGGGAUAACUUCAGGAAACUGGGGCUAAUACCGGAUAGGAGCUCCUGCUGCAUGGUGGGGGUUGGAAAGUUUCGGCGGUUGGGGAUGGACUCGCGGGUUAUCAGCUUGUUGGUGGGGUAGUGGAUGACCAGGCCUGAGACGGGUAGCCGGCCUGAGAGGGUGAACGGGGACCAGAGGCCUGAGGGACGGCCCAGACGGGUAUGGGAGGCAGCAGGGGGGAGUAUUGCACAGUGAGCGGGCGCGUGAUGCGACGGCCCCGGGUGCGGGAUGACGGCCUUCGGGUUAUGAACAGCUUUCGCCUGUGACGAAGCGUGAGUGACGGUAAUGAGUAAAGAAGCACCGGCUAACUACGUG